AACGAACGCUGGCGGCAGGCUUAACACAUGCAAGUCGAGCGAGACCUUCGGGUCUAGCGGCGGACGGGUGAGUAACGCGUGGGAACGUGCCCUUCUCUACGGAAUAGCCCCGGGAAACUGGGAGUAAUACCGUAUACGCCCUUUGGGGGAAAGAUUUAUCGGAGAAGGAUCGGCCCGCGUUGGAUUAGGUAGUUGGUGGGGUAAUGGCCCACCAAGCCGACAAUCCAUAGCUGGUUUGAGAGGAUGAUCAGCCACACUGGGACUGAGACACGGCCCAGACUCCUACGGGAGGCAGCAGUGGGGAAUCUUAGACAAUGGGGGCAACCCUGAUCUAGCCAUGCCGCGUGAGUGAUGAAGGCCUUAGGGUUGUAAAGCUCUUUCAGCUGGGAAGAUAAUGACGGUACCAGCAGAAGAAGCCCCGGCUAACUCCGUG
rnacentral:rRNA from 1 species